rnacentral:misc_RNA from 1 species
GAGAGAGAGAGAGAGAGAGUGGGGGAUGUUAAAAGCAGUGAGGAGGGGGGAACAUGUAUGGCCUACAAUCUUGCAGUUGUUGCAAAUAGCCAUACUAACCACUAAAGUUAUAACUACUAAAGUGAUAAGAUUUGGAGUUAGGUAUUUUCUGGUUCUUCACUGUUGUUUAAAUGGGGGCUUGUGGGCACCAGAAGAGAGUGAUUGCUAUCCUGGCUGGGUAGUGCAGGAUGAUCAUGAUGAUGGGACCAACUUAAUGCCAUUCUGCUUCCUCUGAUUGUUUUCCAUUCAUUCUCUUCUCUACUUAACAACAAAAUUAUAUAAAUUAAGCCCGAAUCACACACUGAUUUUACCUAAACCUAUUUUGACUUGUGCUCUUCCCUAUGCUUAGUUUACAAAUUCAUUUACCACUUUUUAGAUGAAUAGAUGACAGAUAACAAGCAUUUGCCCCACG